GACGUAGGGAGCGAGCGUUGUCCGGAUUCAUUGGGCGUAAAGAGCGCGCAGGCGGUUUGGUAAGUCGGAUGGGAAAUCCCGGGGCUCAACCCCGGACCUGCAUCCGAUACUGCCCGACUAGAGGUAGGUAGGGGAGAUCGGAAUUCCUGGUGUAGCGGUGAAAUGCGCAGAUAUCAGGAGGAACACCGGUGGCGAAGGCGGAUCUCUGGGCCUUACCUGACGCUCAGGCGCGAAAGCUAGGGGAGCGAACAGG
rnacentral:rRNA from 1 species